AUAGCAUGUCAGAAGGCAGACCCGGAGAACUGAAACAUCUUAGUACCCGGAGGAAGAGAAAGAAAAAUCGAUUCCCUGAGUAGCGGCGAGCGAAACGGGAAGAGCCCAAACCAACAAGCUUGCUUGUUGGGGUUGUAGGACACUCUAUACGGAGUUACAAAAGAACAUGUUAGACGAAUCAUCUGGAAAGAUGAAUCAAAGAAGGUAAUAAUCCUGUAGUCGAAAACAUAUUCUCUCUUGAGUGGAUCCUGAGUACGACGGAGCACGUGAAAUUCCGUCGGAAUCUGGGAGGACCAUCUCCUAAGGCUAAAUACUCUCUAGUGACCGAUAGUGAACCAGUACCGUGAGGGAAAGGUGAAAAGUACCCCGGAAGGGGAGUGAAAGAGAACUUGAAACCGUGUGCUUACAAGUAGUCAGAGCCCGUUAAUGGGUGAUGGCGUGCCUUUUGUAGAAUGAACCGGCGAGUUACGAUCUGAUGCAAGGUUAAGCAGCAAAUGUGGAGCCGCAGCGAAAGCGAGUCUGAAUAGGGCGUUGAGUAUUUGGUCGUAGACCCGAAACCAGGUGAUCUACCCUUGGUCAGGUUGAAGUUCAGGUAACACUGAAUGGAGGACCGAACCGACUUACGUUGAAAAGUGAGCGGAUGAACUGAGGGUAGCGGAGAAAUUCCAAUCGAACUUGGAGAUAGCUGGUUCUCUCCGAAAUAGCUUUAGGGCUAGCCUCAAGUGAUGAUUAUUGGAGGUAGAGCACUGUUUGGACGAGGGGCCCCUCUCGGGUUACCGAAUUCAGACAAACUCCGAAUGCCAAUUAAUUUAACUUGGGAGUCAGAACAUGGGUGAUAAGGUCCGUGUUCGAAAGGGAAACAGCCCAGACCACCAGCUAAGGUCCCAAAAUAUAUGUUAAGUGGAAAAGGAUGUGGCGUUGCCCAGACAACUAGGAUGUUGGCUUAGAAGCAGCCAUCAUUUAAAGAGUGCGUAAUAGCUCACUAGUCGAGUGACACUGCGCCGAAAAUGUACCGGGGCUAAACAUAUUACCGAAGCUGUGGAUUGUCCUUUGGACAAUGGUAGGAGAGCGUUCUAAGGGCGUCGAAGCAUGAUCGCAAGGACAUGUGGAGCGCUUAGAAGUGAGAAUGCCGGUGUGAGUAGCGAAAGACGGGUGAGAAUCCCGUCCACCGAUUGACUAAGGUUUCCAGAGGAAGGCUCGUCCGCUCUGGGUUAGUCGGGUCCUAAGCUGAGGCCGACAGGCGUAGGCGAUGGAUAACAGGUUGAUAUUCCUGUACCACCUAGUAUCGUUUUAAUCGAUGGGGGGACGCAGUAGGAUAGGCGAAGCGUGCUGUUGGAGUGCACGUCCAAGCAGUAAGGCUGAGUGUUAGGCAAAUCCGGCACUCAUAAGGCUGAGCUGUGAUGGGGAGAGGAAAUUGUUUCCUCGAGUCG
rnacentral:rRNA from 1 species